rnacentral:miRNA from 1 species
AGAUGGAGCGACUGGCAAGAGCGAGAGAGAGCAGCGAGGGCGAACCACCACCAACGCGGGCAGAGAUUGUUGCCAUGUUUCUGUUUCUCUCUCUCUCACUCUCACUCUCACUCUCUCGCUUGCUGUUCGUCUCUCUUU